rnacentral:tRNA from 1 species
GCCUCGUUAGCGUAGUUGGAAUAUCGCAUCUGUCUAAUAUACAGUGCCUCGGGUCGGUCCGAGUCUUAUAAAACAGAAGGUCACUGGUUCGAGCCCAGUACGGGGCA